UACGAAGGGGGCUAGCGUUGCUCGGAAUCACUGGGCGUAAAGCGCACGUAGGCGGAUUGUUAAGUCAGGGGUGAAAUCCUGGAGCUCAACUCCAGAACUGCCUUUGAUACUGGAGAGCUUGAGUCCGGGAGAGGUGAGUGGAACUCCGAGUGUAGAGGUGAAAUUCGUAGAUAUUCGGAAGAACACCAGUGGCGAAGGCGGCUCACUGGCCCGGUACUGACGCUGAUGUGCGAAAGCGUGGGGAGCAAACAGG
rnacentral:rRNA from 1 species